rnacentral:rRNA from 1 species
CCUACGGGUGGCAGCAGUGGGGAAUAUUACACAAUGGGGGAAACCCUGAUGCAGCGACGCCGCGUGAGUGAAGAAGUAUUUCGGUAUGUUAAGCUCUAUCAGCAAGGAAGAAAAUGACGGUACCUGAUUCAGACGCCCCGGCUAACUACGGGCCAGCAGCCGCCGUAAUGCGGCGGGAGCAAGGGUUAUCCGGAUUUACUGGGGGUAAAGGGAGCGUAUACGGCAGCACAAGUCUGGAGUGAAAUGCCUGGGUUUAACCCCGGAACUGCCUUGGAAACUGGGGAGCUAGAGUGCAGGAGAGGUAAGUGGAAUGCGUGGUGUAGCGGUGAAAUGCGUAGAUAUUAGGAGGAACCCCAGUGGCGAAGGCGGCUUACUGGAGUAUAACUGACGUUGAGGCUCGAAAGCGUGGGGAGCGAACAGGAUUAGAUACCCUGGUAGUC